rnacentral:rRNA from 1 species
GAAGGAUCAUUACCGAGUGCGGGCCCUCUGGGUCCAACCUCCCAUCCGUGUCUAUCUGUACCCUGUUGCUUCGGCGUGGCCACGGCCCGCCGAAGACUAACAUUUGAACACUGUCUGAAGUUUGCAGUCUGAGUUUUUAGUUAAACAAUAAUUAAAACUUUCAACAACGGAUCUCUUGGUUCCGGCAUCGAUGAAGAACGCAGCGAAAUGCGAUAAUUAAUGUGAAUUGCAGAAUUCAGUGAAUCAUCGAGUCUUUGAACGCACAUUGCGCCCCCUGGUAUUCCGGGGGGCAUGCCUGUCCGAGCGUCAUUGCUGCCCUCAAGCACGGCUUGUGUGUUGGGCUUCCGUCCCUGGUAACGGGGACGGGCCCAAAAGGCAGUGGCGGCACCAUGUCUGGUCCUCGAGCGUAUGGGGCUUUGUCACCCGCUCCCGUAGGUCCAGCUGGCAGCUAGCCUCGCAACCAAUCUUUUUAACCAGGUUGACCUCGGAUCAGGUAGGGAUACCCGCUGAACUUAA